rnacentral:rRNA from 1 species
GAAAUUCUUGGAUUUAUUGAAGACUUACUACUGCGAAAGCAUUUGCCAAGGAUGUUUUCAUUAAUCAAGAACGAAAGUUAGGGGAUCGAAGACGAUCAGAUACCGUCGUAGUCUUAACCAUAAACUAUGCCGACUAGGGAUCGGAUGAUGUUAAUUUUUUAAUGACUCA